AUGAACUCUUCACCAGUUUUAGUGACUGUGAUGCUAUUCAUGCUUGGAAGGACCUACGGAGACUCAGUGACCCAAAAAGAAGGUCAAGUGAUCCUCUCAGAAGAUGACUUCCUACUUAUAAACUGUCCACAGUUCCUUUUGAAAGUCACAACACCCAAUAACAAGGGAAGCAGCAGAGGUUUUGAAGCUACGUAUGAUAAAAGGAACACGUCCUUCCACUUGCAGAAAGCCUCAGUGCAAGCGUCAGACUCGGCCGUGUACUACUGUGCUCUGAGUGACACAGUGGCAGAAACCACAGAGGGAGCUGAGCACAAACUCUGA